UACGGAAUGUGCAAACGUUAUUCGGAAUCACUGGGCUUAAAGAGUCCGUAGGCGGCUUGUUAGGUGAGGUGUGAAAUCCCUCGGCCCAACCGAGGAAUUGCGCUUCAAACCGGCAAGCUGAGAGGAGGAUAGAGGUGGGCGGAACUGAUGGUGGAGCGGUGAAAUGCGUUGAUAUCUGGAGGAAUACCGGUGGCGAAGGCGGGCAUCCUGGGACCCGACAUUGACCGCUGAGUG
rnacentral:rRNA from 1 species